UGAACCGGACCACAUGCGGACAGACGCCAUUUUACCUCUGUGCGAAGUGUGGUGUUCUAAGCAAAUUACUUUCUUUCGACUUACAAAACAGAAGUAUGGUUUGGGAAUUAUCACCUUGUUUCUGUCACUCGGAGAUCCCCAAGGGAGGAGUGGAUAUGGACAUUUUUAUGAUGGCCAAAAAAACACUGGAUUCUUGUCGUGGCGCCUCAAGACCGUACAAAGGGGGACAAAACCUGCAGAUAAGGAUGAUCCAAAAACAGGAAA